AAGGGUGCGUAGGCGGCCUGUUAAGUCAGGGGUGAAAGACGGUAGCUCAACUAUCGCAGUGCCCUUGAUACUGAUGGGCUUGAAUUGACUAGAGGUAGGCGGAAUGUGACAAGUAGCGGUGAAAUGCAUAGAUAUGUCACAGAACACCGAUUGCGAAGGCAGCUUACUAUGGUCUUAUUGACGCUGAGGCACGAAAGCGUGGGGAUCAAACAGGAUUAGAUACCCCCUGU
rnacentral:rRNA from 1 species